rnacentral:rRNA from 1 species
CACAAGCGGUGGAGCAUGUGGUUAAUUCGAAGCAACGCGAAGAACCUUACCAGGUCUUGACAUCCCGAUGCUAUUUCUUAGAGAUAGAAAGUUACUUCGGUACAUCGGUGACAGGUGGUGCAUGGUUGUCGUCAGCUCGUGUCGUGAGAUGUUGGGUUAAGUCCCGCAACGAGCGCAACCCCUAUUGUUAGUUGCCAUCAUUCAGUUGGGCACUCUAGCGAGACUGCCGGUAAUAAACCGGAGGAAGUGGGGAUGACGUCAAAUCAUCAUGCCCCUUAUGACCUGGGCUACACACGUGCUACAAUGGUUGGUACAACGAGUUGCGAGUCGGUGACGGCGAGCUAAUCUCUUAAAGCCAAUCUCAGUUCGGAUUGUAGGCUGCAACUCGCCUACAUGAAGUCGGAAUCGCUAGUAAUCGCGGAUCAGCACGCCGCGGUGAAUACGUUCCCGGGCCUU